UCCUGCACAACCUGGCCAAGACAUACCCCUGCAGCAUGCCAAGGACUGUCCUCCCCGAAGAGGUUCCCGUCGAGCCCGUGGCAGCGGGCCGUGAUGAAAGCAACGAGGCUCGGGAUGCCAUCGUCAGCCAGUUCUUCGGUUGAGCCAGGAGAUUAGCUCCCUCGAGCUGCUGCUGCCUUUCUGUCUCCUGCAAGAAGCGCUGUGAAGCCUCCCGGCACCAACGUCGGCUGUAUGGCACAUUUGUUGGAGCCCGCUGCACCGCCUCCAGCGGCCGACUCUCGUGCAGCACUGCCGCACUUGCUCCGCUCCCAGAGGGACCAGGCUGUGGAUCUAUUCCCCUGGAGCUGUCACUGCGACAAAUGCAUGUGUAAAAAGUGGUCAGGUUUUGUUCUUGUCAGCAUGGGCAAAGAGAACACACUGUGCAAAGUUUGUAACCCUGAUAAAGACACCGAUGCUGCGCCAAAAUUCAUUCAUACGGGUUGGUACAGAGGACAAAGUUUGUGAGCCAAGUUGGUUUAUACACUGACGCACAGGCUUGAGGUCGGAGCGCAGUGUUGUUACUUCUUGCACAAUUGCCCAGUACAUGGUGUAGGAAAAUGUGCAUUUGGUUGUGAAGAGCAUUUGGUUGUGAAGAGCACACAGCUGCAUUCUAAAGGUUAGAAUGCAGCUGUGUAGCUAUGCGAUUAACAGUUCAUAAAUUUAGUGGUCACAUGUCCAGUCAAACCACAAUGCACUGCACAUUUAUAGGACAACCUCAAACAUUACAGCACAUAGCUUCACUGGUAUUGAUUUUACUCACACAGGUUACCAUCAUGGGGGUAGUUAACUUCCUGACCAGAAUGAAGUUAAUGUUUGAGCCAAUUUUCUAAGUUGGUAAAACAAGCAACAGGAUGGUUGUACUGUGUGUGAUCUUUUAAUUUGCAUAUUGAAAGCGUGCUACAGUUAGCAUUAAAAAAAAGCCAUUGCCACUUUGUUGCAUUUAAUUUCUAUAAGAUGGUAAUAAACAGCUUUACCACCUGAUUUCUCAUUGCAUGCCGUGUUAUUGCAUGAAUUUGUAGCUUCGGUGAAACUGUUUCAGCCUUGUUGAAAAUAAUUAGAAAUGUGGUAGCGCUGGUGCCUCGUCAGAUCUUAGAGUGCACUCUGGAAGACGGUUUCGUGACUUAUAUUUCGAACCGCCUUUGAGCUUUUGUUGUUGAAAUAGAACUGAAGCCAGAUUCCCGGAACUUUCUUACGACAAAAAAGUUAGUAGAUUUAUCUUAUGACAAAUUUACGAACUUUUAAGUAUUCCCGAAGCACAAAGAUCGUAAGUUUUGCGCAAGCUACGGAUUUCGUCAGAACUUGCGCAAAACUUACAAACAUUUUGCUUCGGGAAUACUCAAAAGUUUGUAACUUUGUUGUAAGAAAGUUUCGGGCAUCCGGCCUCUGGUCUUUAUAUGAAAGUACUCGGCAGCAAUGCCAUUCAAAUGGCAACAUGCCCAUCUUCUUAUCAUCAUUUGUCCUCGUCUUUUAGAACCUCGCCUGGAACGACAGUUCUGCAUUACUGUGACCGGUUCCUUAAAACCAUUUACUCUUCACACAAUCGGGUCUAGAAACCAGUCACCUACUCUUCCGUGUCACCUAUGGUGGCCUCCAACCCGCACAGGUUGGGCGAGUCCUCGCCGAUCACUUCGAGGACGGCCUCGACGAGGGGCGUCAGGACGUGGGGGUUUGGCCCAGCACCCAUGAAUUAAGGCGUAGUAAUUUCGUCUCGACUCUUACUUACUCGAGUUACGAGCAAAAACAGAGGAGGUGGGGUUCACUGUUCAACCAAGUAUGUAAAUGGAACUUUCAUGGGAAAAUUAAAAUAAACAAAUACUGCAUGAGACAUUCUUUUAAACAUUCAUUAACUGCUAGAUAACACUGCUGAAACUGUGGACUGUGUAAUCGUGCAAUUUUUACUUUCUUAUAGUUUGGCCUGUCGGCCUCUACCAUUGUGCUCUCUUAUAAUCUGUUUUAUUAUUUUGUCCGAAGUUUUGGGUCUUCCACUGAACUGUUUUACAAGUUCCAUACAGCCUGUGCAGAACUUGUACAUAAACUGGAAUAAAUUGUUUUCUGAUGCUGUAA
rnacentral:lncRNA from 1 species